CCCAAUGGAACUCCUUGCCUUGGGCAUUACUGUGCUUCCAUCUCGGGAUAAUGACAGCACAUAGCACUUAUCAAUACAAGAAAUGCUGAAAAAGGUUCAGGAAAGGUGGCAUAAAGGUCAGAAGAUUAGAUUUUCCGAAGAGGCCCAUCGACUUCCACCCAGUGCCCUUGAAGACCCUGGAGUGGUUGCUGUGAUACCAUCUAAGAAGACCCCAGGUCCACCAUGAAUUCCACGUCCUGCAGUUUGCCUCCUAGGAGAAGUUUAAAGCCCAUCCACUCUGAUCUGCACUGUUUAAACUAACAACAUGGUUGCAAGAGGAGCUAGUUUCCAAAACAGCCAGUGAUGCCAACUUCGCGAUUUGUUCACUCAAUUUAGUGAAUUGGUUUGACUUUGUUUUCCAUACAACAAGAAAAAGAGCCUAAUGGAUGGCAACCACAAUCAUCCUCAACAUUUCCAAAGACAUGGUGCCCAUUCAUACAUUGCUGCUCGACCUUAGAAAAGGUCAUAUUCAAAUAUUGAAAAUGUUAAUUUAGUGAGGAUCAUUUUACAUACAUGUUUUGACAAGAGGGAUAUUUUACCAAGAGGAUAAACUUAUUUAUACAUUAUCUGCCCCCACCCAAAAAAAUAAAGACAAUUCCUGUGGAAGUUGAUUCAUGUUAAUGUUCGGGAAAAAGACUUGCUUGAAGAAAUUGAGAGAAAAAUAAAUGCCAGUAAAUACAAAUGAAUAAAGGGUGGAAAGAAUUAAGCAAAACCAGUUCUGAAUAAUGUCAUCAUAUUUGAGUUUUUUAUUAGCGAUUAAAAUCCUAAAUCGGAUUUUCGUGAAAGAAAUUGGGAGAUUUUAUUUUCUAAGGCCACAUGGCCUACCCCUAUCCUGUACCUUUACAUCCUACCUAGAUAAAGGCAGCGUGUGUUAAGCCCAAUUCUGUGAUUUCCCGGGUGCAUUGAACACUAUUUUUGCAACAUUGUGAAUUUGUGUGGACAUUGACAAAUCUCAUUUGCGCCUCGGUACUCACAAGUACGUGCGCGGCUCUAAAGAGAUAGCUGAAUGGAUAGUAGAGCAGGUUGAUGAAGGAGGCCGCAUAGAGAUCUGCGUAGCGCAUC